CAUCCCAUCCCAUCCCAUCCCAUCCCAUCCCACCCCUCAGAGCCUCACCAGCCGCUUGCAGCUCAGUGCAAAGUCUCAGUAAACAUUUAUUCGAAGCUUUGCCACAAUUAACCUUAAGUUGAUUUGUGAAACUGGUCUACAAAUACUGAACUACGGAGUACAUGGUUUGGAUGGUCCGAUAAAGGAAUAAAUAAAAGCAUGUAAAGCUCUGUAAAAAAGAAGUCUGGUAUAUUGUAACUAGUUAACAGGAUUACCAGCAGGAUCUCGUAUGUGUCUAGGAUCGGAAGUGAACACACGGCAUCUCUUCAGACCAAAUCAUUUUUACAUAAACAGUUGUACAAACUUAAACACUGUAAUCAUAAAACCUGAUGUACAAAACAGGAUGUGAAAUCACUACCAUCAGUGCCAACAACAAGUGCUACCACAGCAAAUAUAACUUCUGAAUAAAAGGAAAGGAUUGGUUUUUACAUGUGCUGUCAUCACAGGUCGAUGGAAUUAUCCAAAAAGUUUAAAAUACAUGCGGAUACAAUAAAACCUUUUAUUUUCCAACCCAGACAAAGAGAACUCAUGGUCACUUAACACCAUUAGCUGCCAAAUACAGAUCAGUAUGUGAGGCAAACCACACUUAAACACUUACACACCACCAAAGAGCAAAGGUUGAUACUGGUCUAUUUUCCACACCGACGAUGCAACGACGAGUCUGGAGAAGCAAACCACGUGAAGGAGGUGCUACAAGUACAGCACUGAGUUCAAUGCACUGACACCCAAACCACCAGCACUGAGCUGUACUGGGUGUGUACACUGCACUGUGACACCCAAACCACCAGCACUGAGCUACACUGGGUGUGUACACUGCACUCUGACACCCAAACCACCAGCACUGGAGUGCUCUGCCAGAGGGGAAGAGCACAGCAGGAUCCCAGAGCAGACAGCUGAAAACCUUCAGGAGUGGGAACACUGCAGGAUUCCAAAGCAGGCAGGUGAAAACUUUCAUGAAUGGGAACACUGCAGGAUUCCAGAGGCUGGCUCCCAGAGCAGGCAGCUGAAAACCCUCAGAACCCCGGUGAGUUCCCGAUCCCGGGCAGCCAGACCCAUCCUUGGCGCCUGUGCCAGCCGCUCACACAGGCAUGGGCUCUCCAGUGGCACAGGAAGGUCCAGGAGCAGGAUCUGUCCUGCAGGAGCAGCCAGGUGGGGCUGUCCCUGUGUCACCUGUGCCCCAGCAGGGCACCAUGGCUGUGGCAGAGCUCCAUGAAGUCACAGCAAGAAGCUGAAGCUACCAGGGUUGUCCUGUGCCAUCCCCACCUGGGACAGGUGAUGCUGCUGAGGUUUGUCCCGUGCCAUCCUUGCCCUGAUACAGUGACACUGCUGAGGGUUGUCCCGUGCCACCCCUGCAGGUGUAACCCACAGGUGACACAGAGCCCUGCCUGUCUCUGA
rnacentral:lncRNA from 1 species